rnacentral:rRNA from 1 species
AAUGAACGUUGGCGGCGUGGAUUAGGCAUGCAAGUCGAGCGAGAACCUUCUUUCGGGAAGGGGAAAGCGGCGUAAGGGACAGUAAUACGUAGACAACCUGCCCUCGGACUCAGGAUAGCUGCGGGAAACUGCAGGUAAUACUGAAUAAUGUCUUUGGACCAAAGGUGUGAUUCCGUCCGGGGAUGGGUCUGCGUCCUAUUAGCUAGUUGGUGGGGUAACGGCCUACCAAGGCAAUGAUGGGUAGCGGGUGUGAGAGCACGACCCGCGUCACUGGGACUGAGACACUGCCCAGACACCUACGGGUGGCUGCAGUCGAGGAUCUUCGGCAAUGGGCGCAAGCCUGACCGAGCGACGCCGCGUGUGGGAUGAAGGCCUUCGGGUUGUAAACCACUGUCAGAGGGGAUGAAAUGCGCGUGGGUUCUCCCACGUGUUUGACAUAUCCUCAGAGGAAGUACGGGCUAAGUUCGUGCCAGCAGCCGCGGUAAAAC